AGAGUUUGAUCAUGGCUCAGAUUGAACGCUGGCGGCAUGCCUAACACAUGCAAGUCGAACGGCAGCACAGCAGAGCUUGCUCUGUGGGUGGCGAGUGGCGGACGGGUGAGUAAUGCAUCGGGACCUACCUGAACGUGGGGGAUAACGUAGGGAAACUUACGCUAAUACCGCAUACGUCCUACGGGAGAAAGCGGGGGACCUUCGGGCCUCGCGCGGUCAGACGGACCGAUGUUCGAUUAGCUAGUUGGUAAGGUAAUGGCUUACCAAGGCGACGAUCGAUAGCUGGUCUGAGAGGAUGAUCAGCCACACUGGAACUGAGACACGGUCCAGACUCCUACGGGAGGCAGCAGUGGGGAAUAUUGGACAAUGGGCGCAAGCCUGAUCCAGCAAUGCCGCGUGUGUGAAGAAGGCCUUCGGGUUGUAAAGCACUUUUAUCGGGAACGAAAUACCAUUGGUUAAUAACCGGUGGGGCUGACGGUACCCGAGGAAUAAGCACCGGCUAACUUCGUGCCAGCAGCCGCGGUAAUACGAAGGGUGCAAGCGUUAAUCGGAAUUACUGGGCGUAAAGGGUGCGUAGGCGGUUAGUUAAGUCUGUUGUGAAAUCCCCGGGCUCAACCUGGGAAUGGCAAUGGAUACUGGCUAGCUAGAGUGUGUCAGAGGAUGGUGGAAUUUCCGGUGUAGCGGUGAAAUGCGUAGAGAUCGGAAGGAACAUCAGUGGCGAAGGCGGCCAUCUGGGACAACACUGACGCUGAAGCACGAAAGCGUGGGGAGCAAACAGGAUUAGAUACCCUAGUAGUCC
rnacentral:rRNA from 1 species